AUACGGUGAAACUGCGAAUGGCUCAUUAAAUCAGUUAUCGUUUAUUUGAUAGUACCUUGCUACAUGGAUACCUGUGGUAAUUCUAGAGCUAAUACAUGCUAAAAACCUCGACUUCGGAAGGGGUGUAUUUAUUAGAUAAAAAACCAAUGCCCUUCGGGGCUCCUUGGUGAUUCAUAAUAACUUAACGAAUCGCAUGGCCUUGCGCCGGCGAUGGUUCAUUCAAAUUUCUGCCCUAUCAACUUUCGAUGGUAGGAUAGUGGCCUACCAUGGUGGCAACGGGUAACGGGGAAUUAGGGUUCGAUUCCGGAGAGGGAGCCUGAGAAACGGCUACCACAUCCAAGGAAGGCAGCAGGCGCGCAAAUUACCCAAUCCCGACACGGGGAGGUAGUGACAAUAAAUACUGAUACAGGGCUCUUUUGGGUCUUGUAAUCGGAAUGAGUACAAUCUAAAUCCCUUAACGAGGAACAAUUGGAGGGCAAGUCUGGUGCCAGCAGCCGCGGUAAUUCCAGCUCCAAUAGCGUAUAUUAAAGUUGUUGCAGUUAAAAAGCUCGUAGUUGAACCUUGGGUCUGGCUGGCCGGUCCGCCUCACCGCGAGUACUGGUCCGGCUGGACCUUUCCUUCUGGGGAACCCCAUGGCCUUCACUGGCCGUGGCGGGGAACCAGGACUUUUACUGUGAAAAAAUUAGAGUGUUCAAAGCAGGCCUUUGCUCGAAUACAUUAGCAUGGAAUAAUAGAAUAGGACGUGCGGUUCUAUUUUGUUGGUUUCUAGGACCGCCGUAAUGAUUAAUAGGGAUA
rnacentral:rRNA from 2 species